UUCCCAAUUUGCGCUCAAGACCAUUGGUUCCUUCUCUGCGUUAAUUCACUACAAAAAGAGAUCAAUUUUUUCUCAUCUUCCAGUAUUCCUUGUGCUAAAGAUACAAAUUGUUUCAUAUCUAAUUUGGUGAAUUCCUUUUUCAUCAAUUAUUUAGUAGAACUCUUAUUAAUCUUCUAUGUUCUAACAGUUUCACAUAAAAACUUUUGUACUAAUAAAUUUUCAGGUUACAAAUUUCCAAACAAGUUGCAAAGAAUGUAAAAUAUUUGAUAGGGCAUUACUUCAGUAUGACAAGAAGAUCAUUGAUUGCCCUCAACAGUCUAAUAAUUUCGACUGUGGCCUCUAUGUGAUGAUGUUCAUUGAACAUUUUGAUGGCAUCUCUCUCAAGAAAUUCAAGCCAAGUGAUGUUGCUGAGUUUCGGAAGGUCGUUUCUUAUAAACUGAUGAACCAUGUAAACAAUGAAGGUGUAAUUCCAAAUAUGAAGGCUGAGAAGAUGUUUUUAAUAGACUGAUGUUCCAGAGUUCCCUGGAACCUGGUCUUAGUGUUUUUUGUACCAGAAUUGUUGUAAUUAUUACCACUUCA